UUUAGGGAGACCUACCCCAUCGACAACUGAAAUCAUUCAGAGAAUAGGUUGAGAUGAGGUCAUCCCAAGGUCGUUCGAGAUAAGGACAGAUUGGCUUUCAAACUAGGUUCAGAUCUUAGGAGAUUCAGAUUUUGGGAGACUACAGUUGGUAACCUUUACAGGUCUGCUAAUUGAGAAUCAACCAAGAAAUUGAGCACCAAAAGAAGAUUGAGUUCAUUCAGCAAUUCAUCGAGUUGUGUCGCCUCAAGUGAAGAGUGAGGAACUGGACUGGAGAGCCUGCUGGGUGAGAACUCAGUAUCUGAGUGAGGAACUCAGGUGAGGACCUUGAAAACUGCAUAGAGAAGAAAGAGUAAGUCAGGUAGAACAUUGUUAUUGGGCCUGAGUUCUGCUGAGAGUUAAAGCAGGGAAGGUUAGCGAUAACCCGACCCGGGUGAUGACGGAGGCAAGAGAUUCAGAGACAUUCAGUCAAUUAAUUGGAGUUGACUGAGUGAACUAAUAACAAAUUUACAGACACCAAUGAAACUCAAGUAAUGAAACUGGGGCGAAGCGACUCAAGGAAUUGAGAUUCAAGGAAUUGAGAUUCAAGGAAUUGAGAUUCAAGGAAUUGAGGAUGAGGCGCAGUAGUUUCGAGCAAAGAAUUACCUAGU
rnacentral:misc_RNA from 1 species